CCUCCUCUUGUUGGCGGGGUCCGGGCGUGCGGUCCCAGUUCCCGUAAUGAACGGAGACAGAGGGAGAGAGCCCCGGCGUCAUUCCUUCCAUGCCAACAGUUUCCAGUCCACUGGUUCUAUCCUCAAGCGCCGGGACUCGG
rnacentral:snoRNA from 1 species